rfam:Myotis brandtii contig179117, whole genome shotgun sequence.
AAGACUAUACUUUCAGGGAUCAUUUCUAUAGUUCGUUACUAGAGAAGUUUCUCUGAACGUGUAGAGCACCCGAAACCACGAGGAGGAGAUACAGCAUUCUCUCCUGAGCAUGAAGCCGGCUCUCGGUGUUGCUUCGGCAACUGCUGCUUGCCAUUGAUGAUCGUUCUUCUCUCUUUCGGGGGAGAAGAAGGAGAGGAUGCAUUCUGAGUGGC